rnacentral:rRNA from 1 species
GACGUAGGGCGCGAGCGUUGUCCGGAUUUAUUGGGCGUAAAGAGCUCGUAGGCGGCUUGUCGCGUCGAAUGUGAAAACUCGGGGCUCAACUCCGAGCUUGCAUUCGAUACGGGCAGGCUAGAGUUCGGUAGGGGAGACUGGAAUUCCUGGUGUAGCGGUGAAAUGCGCAGAUAUCAGGAGGAACACCGGUGGCGAAGGCGGGUCUCUGGGCCGAUACUGACGCUGAGGAGCAAAAGCGUGGGGAGCGAACAGG